rnacentral:sRNA from 1 species
UUACAGGGAAUAUGUCACACCUGGUUUAAUUUAUUUUAGAACAAUUUAAAAGCCAGAAUUUGAUUUUUAGAAGCAAGAAAAUAGGGGCCAAAUUGUCACAUGGUGGCAGCUUUUAUGAAUAUGGCAUCAGUGUGGCUUUCUUUGAGAAUUCAAGACAAGUGUGAAUGGAGGCUGUGCAAGCAGGAGUCUGUAACAGAUCCUCUCUUCCCCAGGGCUGCCGGGGAGCGCUAUCGCAGGGAGAUGCUGGCCCACGGUGGAGGCAGGGAGCCCAUGCUCAUGGUUGAAGGUAUGCUUCAGAAGUGUCCUUCUGUUGAUGACUUCGUAAGUGCCCUCGUUUCCGACUUGGAUCUGGACUUCGAAACUUUCCUCAUGGAUUCUGAAUAAAAGAAACACUCUACACCUCUUAAAUCAAGGUCAUGUAGAUAAUGACUUUGUUAUAAAUGCUACAGCUGUGAGAGCUUGUUUCUGAUUUCAUUGUUCGCUUCUGUAAUUCUGAAAAACUUUAAACUGGUAGAACUUGGAAUAAAUAAUUUGUUUUAAUUA